AGAGACUUAGGAUAAUAAAGACCAAGGGCCUUCAAAGCCCUAAGUAAGGGUGAAACUCCCUUAGUCCCUG
rnacentral:tRNA from 1 species